GAUGAACGCUGGCGGCGCGCCUAACACAUGCAAGUCGAACGAUUAAAGCACCUUCGGGUGUGUAUAAAGUGGCGAACGGCUGAGUAACACGUGGGCAACCUGCCCCUCUCAUUGGGAUAGCCACGGGAAGCCGUGGAUAAUACCGAAUACUUCGGGACUUCCGCAUGGAAGACUCGAGAAAGCUCCGGCGGAGAGGGAUGGGCCCGCGGCCUGUUAGCUUGUUGGUGGGGUAAUGGCCUACCAAGGCAAUGAUGGGUAGCUGGGUUGAGAGACCGACCAGCCAGAUUGGGACUGAGACACGGCCCAGACUCCUACGGGAGGCAGCAGUGGGGAAUCUUGCACAAUGGGCGAAAGCCUGAUGCAGCGACGCCGCGUGCGGGAUGAAGGCCUUCGGGUUGUAAACCGCUUUCAGCAGGGACGAGGCGAAAGUGACGGUACCUGCAGAAGAAGCCCCGGCUAACUACGUG
rnacentral:rRNA from 1 species